CAGCACCUCAAGUGGUCAGGAUGAUUAUUGGGCCUAAAGCAUCCGUAGCCGGCUCUGUAAGUUUUCGGUUAAAUCUGUGUGCUCAACAUACAGGCUGCCGGGAAUACUGCAGAGCUAGGGAGUGGGAGAGGUAGACGGUACUCGGUAGGAAGGGGUAAAAUCCUUUGAUCUAUUGAUGACCACCUGUGGCGAAGGCGGUCUACCAGAACACGUCCGACGGUGAGGGAUGAAAGCUGGGGGAGCAAACCGGAUUAGAUACCCGAGUAGUCC
rnacentral:rRNA from 1 species